AGGCUAGCGGCAGGCUAAUACAUGCAAGUCGAACGGCAGCGCGGGGCAACCUGGCGGCGAGUGGCGCACGGGUGAGUAACACGUACAUAACAUGCCUUUGAGAGGGGGAAAGUCACUGGAAACGGUGAAUAAUCCGCCAUAAGAUAUGAGCCUCGCAUGGGGUAAAUAUUAAAGGAGCGAUCUGCUCAAAGAUUGGUGUGCGUCUGAUUAGCUAGUUGGUGGGGUAACGGCCCACCAAGGCGACGAUCAGUAGGGGGCGUGAGAGCGUGGCCCCCCACAUGGGUACUGAGACACGGACCCAACUCCUACGGGAGGCAGCAGUAAGGAAUAUUGGUCAAUGGGCGAAAGCCUGAACCAGCCAUGCCGCGUGCGGGAAGAAGGUUCUUAGAAUUGUAAACCGCUUUUGAUAGGGAAGAAUGGGCGAGAUUAAUCUUGCAAGAGACGGUACCUAUCGAAUAAGCACCGGCUAACUCCGUGCCAGCAGCCGCGGUAAUACGGAGGGUGCAAGCGUUAUCCGGAAUCACUGGGUUUAAAGGGUACGUAGGCUGCUCGUUAAGUCAUUAUUGAAAGGUCGUUGCUUAACAACGGACGUGGUAAAGAUACUGGCGAGCUAGAAUUAGACAGAGGUUGGCAGAAUGUGUCAUGUAGCGGUGAAAUGCAUAGAUAUGACAUAGAAUACCGAUAGCGAAGGCAGCUAACUGGGUCUAUAUUGACGCUGAGGUACGAAAGCGUGGGGAUCAAACAGGAUUAGAUACCCCUGGUAGUCCACGCCGUAAACGAUGCUAACUGGGUGUAUGAUCGAAUAAGGGUUGUGCACCUGAGGGAAACCAUUAAGUUAGCCACCUGGGAAGUACGCCGGCAACGGUGAAACUCAAAUGAAUUGACGGAAGGGCGAA
rnacentral:rRNA from 1 species